CCUUCCCGGCUUGUUUCAGGUGCUCUGUGGCCCGGUGUCAACAGAGUGAAACAGGGAAGCCGGUGAGCCCUUCGAGAGGCGCGAUCCCGGCGCUGCCCCCGCAACGGUAAAUGAGUCAAGACUGCGCUUUUCGCCACUGUGCCGACGGCAUGGGAAGGCGCGCGGUCCCGCGUUCGCGCGCUCAUGAGCCCGGAGACCGGCCUGAUCCAUUCCACAGCA
rnacentral:ncRNA from 1 species